rnacentral:rRNA from 1 species
GGGUGCAAUCAUACCUGCACUAAUGUAACGGAUUCCAUCGGAACUUCGAAGUUAACCGCGCUUGGGCGAGAAUAGUUCUAAGAUAUGCUUUGUCGAGGGACUUCCAUAGGCACAGGCA